UGAGGAAUAUUGGGCAAUGGGCGCAAGCCUGACCCAGCAACGCCGCGUGAAGGAAGAAGGCUUUCGGGUUGUAAACUUCUUUUCUCAGGGACGAACAGAUGACGGUACCUGAGGAAUAAGCCACGGCUAACUACGUGCCAGCAGCCGCGGUAAUACGUAGGUGGCAAGCGUUAUCCGGAUUUACUGGGUGUAAAGGGCGUGUAGGCGGGGACGCAAGUCAGAUGUGAAAACCACGGGCUCAACCUGUGGCCUGCAUUUGAAACUGUGUUUCUUGAGUGCUGGAGAGGCAAUCGGAAUUCCGUGUGUAGCGGUGAAAUGCGUAGAUAUACGGAGGAACACCAGUGGCGAAGGCGGAUUGCUGGACAGCAACUGACGCUGAGGCGCGAAAGCGUGGGGAGCAAACAGG
rnacentral:rRNA from 1 species